UUGAACGAUGAUGGAAAGGGAAAAAUGGACUCGUAACCUCUGGAAAAGGAUUGGUUCUUACAGCUAGACAUGGGGGUCCCACGCCCAAACUCAUCCGCUAUCGGCAGACUACCCGAGCUGCUCCCACGAUAAUACCGGGUCACUACGUGCUGACCGAGGGAUGGAAUGGGAAUGUCCCCUCAGGGGCAUUCCCCGGGCGUUUAAUAGUCGACUCAGAACUGGAACAGACAAGGGGAAUACGAUAGUUUAAUUAAAACAAAUCAUUGCGAUGGUCACUACAGAUGUUUACGCAAUGUGAUUUCUGCCCAACGCACUGAAUGACAAAGUGAAGAAAUUCAACAAAGAGAGGGUAAGCGGCACGAGUAGCUAUGACUCUCUUAAGGUAGCCAAAUGCUUCAUCAUCUAAUUAGUGAUGCACAUGAAUGGAUUAACGAGAUGCCCACUAUCCUUGUCUACUAUCGAGCGCGACCACAACAAAGGGAACGGGCUG
rnacentral:ncRNA from 1 species